rnacentral:lncRNA from 1 species
GGAAGACAAAGAAGUGACUUUAGAAUUGUAAUCAGUAGCAAUGAGUAUGGAAAAUGCUAAGGAGUCACCAGUUCAAUUGCGAGGAUGCUGCACAGUUAGGAGUGGAGCUAUGUAGAAUAAGUAGUUAUUUGCUGAUUUGUAGAUACUUAGUUUAUAGUGUAAACAGGGAUAGAUGACUGUUGGAAAGGUAGUUCAGUAGUUAAAAUGGAUGAAUAGUUAGGAAAAGUAGUUUUCAUUAGAGAUGUAGCAGUUGGUAUCUCGUGGUAGGAUAAGGAAGAUGAGAGAGAGGAAGAAACUGCCAUUACUGUGAUAGUGUGAGCCGGGGUAAGCUUGGUGCUACCUCUUUUCUUUUGUUGUUAUGUUCUUUGAAAUAAGAGUAUUGAGAGUUUCUGAAUAUUGUGAAGUAAAUCAUGGAAUGAAAGUGUGAAUGGAAUUAUAUGUUAUUGAAUGAGAAGAAGAGAGAUUGAAUGCUGAAAUCUGAAUGUAGUUCAGCAGAAAGAGUGAAUUUGUGGUUGUGUAAAACACUGUAAUAUAAAUGGUAGUUAUGUGUGAAGAAUUCCACUAAUUGGAAUGAGGAUAAUUGUGUGCUGAAGCUGUGAUGUUGCGGUAUUACAGUUGGAGAUUAUAAGAGUGAAGAUAUAUUGGUGGAAAUAACAGUUAUU